AAGAAGUGAACAAGAGCACAUGGUGGAUGCCUUGGCAUCAGGAGCGAAGAAGGGCGUAGUAAGCUGCGAGAAGCUUCGGGGAGCUGCUAACGAGCGAUGAUCCGGAGAUACCCGAAUGGGGCAACCCAGCCGCCGUCAUGGGCGGUUACCGACCGGUGAAUACCAUAGCCGGUGCGGAGCGCACCCGGUGAACUGAAACAUCUCAGUAGCCGGAGGAGAAGACAUCAACCGAGAUUUCCCUAGUAGUGGCGAGCGAACGGGGAAGAGCCUAAACUUCGUACGUGUAAGUUUUGCGGCGUUGCGUACGGGGGGUUGUGAGAGCGGUGUCCAGGAGCGCAAGAUCCUGGCGGGAGUGAGCAAAGGACGAGGUAGUUGAAGCCGGCUGGAAAGCCGCACCAGAGCAGGUGAGAGUCCUGUAGACGAAAAGUCGUCCUCUUCCGAUCCGUAUCUCGAGUACCACGGGGCACGAGAAACCCUGUGGGAAGCUGGGAGGACCAUCUUCCAAGGCUAAAUAUGUCCUGAUGACCGAUAGUGAACGAGUACCGUGAGGGAAAGGUG
rnacentral:rRNA from 1 species